GGGCCUGUAGCUCAGCGGUCAGAGCAGGUGGCUCAUAACCACUCGGUCGCAGGUUCGAAUCCUGCCGGGCCCA
rnacentral:tRNA from 1 species